AUUGAACGCUGGCGGCAGGCUUAACACAUGCAAGUCGAGCGGGGGAGGUUGCUUCGGUAACUGACCUAGCGGCGGACGGGUGAGUAAUGCUUAGGAAUCUGCCUAUUAGUGGGGGACAACAUUCCGAAAGGAAUGCUAAUACCGCAUACGUCCUACGGGGGAAAGCAGGGGAUCUUCGGACCUUGCGCUAAUAGAUGAGCCUAAGUCGGAUUGGCUAGGUGGGGGGGUAAAGGCCUACCAAGGCGACGAUCGGUAGCGGGUCUGAGAGGAUGAUCCCCACGACUGGGACUGAGACCCGGCCCAGACUCCUACGGGAGGCAGCAGUGGGGAAUAUUGGACAAUGGGCGGAAGCCUGAUCCAGCCGUGCCGCGUGUGUGAAGAAGGCCUUUUGGUUGUAAAGCACUUUAAGCGAGGAGGAGGCUCCUUUAGUUAAUACCUAAAGAGAGUGGACGUUACUCGCAGAAUAAGCACCGGCUAACUCUGUGCCAGCAGCCGCCGUAAAAC
rnacentral:rRNA from 1 species